GGAGAGGUGGCAGAGUGGUCGAUUGCGGCGGUCUUGAAAACCGUUGUACCGCGAAGAUGCCGGGGUUCGAAUCCCUGUCUCUCCG
rnacentral:tRNA from 1 species